AGCAGACGGGGUUCGUUGACCUGGCUGACACAUCAGGAGUCAGCGGAGUCCGUUCGCCCCCGGGGCAGAAUGGCCCUUCUCAGUGUGGAGUUUUCUUGAUCGGGUAGAGGGAGGUCGAAUAACAUUGAGCUGACAUAUAGGGUGAAAGCACGGACGAAGCGGCGACUUUGGAAAGUCCAAGGAUUUUCGCCAGAGGAGUGAAAACGUAAUUUUUUUCGCAUAGCCAAACCCACGACAUCCAAGGAACCGGGCCGUCUACACCCGGAUAAGUUCCUGCCACAAUGUUGAUGAAUAAAAUUGCACUCCACUAGCAGAGUCCAUACGUAGGCUACCCUUAGCUUUCAGCUGCACCUCCACACAAAAUUUGGCUGUCAUCAUCAUCAACAAUGAUUUCUGCUAGGCGUGCUAUUAUUACUCGCUGCUUUAGCACCGGAAACGUCAUCAAAUCAUCACUGUAAUGUACCACUGGCCUGAACGAGAAUCCAGUGCAGAAUCAGAAGCACUGCCAAAAGCCAAGACUACUUUUUUGCUCAUAACCCGCUCCGUAGUUGUUCUGCUUAAGAAGUAAUUGCGUGCGUGUGUGUAAGGUUCCCGCUUGGACAGCUUCUUCUGGACGCAUGCUCUCGAUAGACCCGCUAGAUUAACCAAGCUUUUUUAAAACUGCCUAGUGCACAAGAGGACCUCUGGCAAUCGCCAGUGUCUCUGUGGCACAGCGCUAGGGCAGCUAAGACCUGAAAGGACCCUAUAAUCCUGGAUCUUCGUGUCCUCCUACAGCUAGUUCGAAACACCUUUCUCGACACCUAAUCCAUUCAACAUCUUUCUCGAGACUUCCGGUAUUCCGAGGAGACAACGCACCAUUGACGGCCAUCGAAAAGACAUGAGAUUUCAGCGACCUCUAGAAAAUCGGAUGCGAGAAAUGUAGCCCAGUGUUCGCGAUGUCAGCACCAGUAUGAAUCCACCCUAUAACGAUCGCUUCGUAACGUAUGACUUUUACAUACAUUAUGUUCUCCAGUCGCUAACAUGAUUGGACUCUAAAAGUGUCCAGAUAUCAUACGGCAGCCAAGAAACAUACAUUCAUUCGUACUGUAUGGAUGCAUUCAUCGCUAAAAUCAGGUACAAACUUUGUUUGAGCGCAGAAAUUGGUAGCUGGAACAAACUACCCUCAAUAGGCAUCUUUUCGAGUCUGCUGUUCCUAUUCGUACCAGGAACGCGAACUACAGCCAGAUGAACGGUUCUCAUAUUGAAAUCUAUUAGCGUUUGGGUUGGUACUAGAAAUUCCAUAGGCAAUUUUCUGUAUGUUUCCUGAGCAAUUCCAUGUCGUCCUCUCUGGCAGGGAAUCUCAUCGAGCUCUCAUAAAGCUUGUGUUUUAUAAUAUUCUUGAGAAAUGCGUCGUCAAGCGAUAACAUAUAUGACUCAUGGCUAUGUCGUGGCGAUGAUGGCCUGCUGAAACGUCCCUCAGAUCUUCAGUGAGCAAUCGAUUGUCCCCCAUAAAUUACCCGAACGUGCGUUAAUCUCAGAUUCAUUCAACUUAGAAUAGUCGUGAAGCGUCUUUCGUGUGAUAUCUGGCACACUGGCAUGAAAUCUAUUUUUGCUGAAUAUGCAAGCACUACCGAAGUAUGCAUUUUAUUAUUGAAUGUAACGUACACGUACACGUACCAACCUAAACAUAUCAUCGACUUCUAAAAAUGGCUCCUAUCAGUAUUAUAUCUCUGUUGAGCAUUUACUAAUUUACAGCACAGUGAAUAGGCAGCGUCGAGUGCUUAGAUGCCCUAAUUACCAGCUAGCCACUGCCUGCGAUUGAUUUCUGUUUUCUGCCUUCGUGCCAAUAUGGGGUGGGCUUAUCUUGUUUUAGGCAGGCUCGCUUGUAAUUCAGAAUCAGAUCGCUCCCAGAACGGUAAAAAAUGAAUGUGGCAGAGUCUCAAAGCUUUUUUCUCCCCUGUUCAUCUAUCUGCAGUAAAUAAUCUCUAUAUUCUAUUUGACCUAUAUACGCAGCUAAAUAUAUACGCAUUUUAUAUAUACCGAGUUUUUGCGAAGUACGAAGGACGACGCGGUAGAAGUUAGUGGACAAGCAUUUUUAGCAUCAACUAGACGAAAUUUGUUGGCGUUCGUCGACAUUUAUUGUUGUGAGAACUUGCAAGGCUUUUUGAGAGACUUUGUUUGAUCGCCUUUUAAAGGCCGGUGGAGUCGUCCUUAAAAGGCAAUAAAUAACAAUUGUCCGAACGACCUUGUAUGGGUACAUAGUAGUGUUUGGCAAGCAUUUUUCAGAGCGUAGCGUUGCUAAACGAGCAUAUGCAGAAACAGUUCCCUUACGAAGUGCUUAAGAUAUAAGACAAGACGUCGCUAACAUGAGUAAUCUAGACGUACUUAAAAUGUUAUUAUAAUAAUAUACUUUGAUUAGGUUAAAGGCCCACCUUCUUCCCUAAAAAACCAAUGCGCUUAUGUCGGAAUGUUAAAAUGCGUCUUCCCAGUGAUGUUUCAAGCUUUCGGCCAGUCUGUUAACUCGUAUCUAUUAGGUCGACUACCGUGUAGGUUUUUUUUUCCUGACUAUUGAUAUGCAGUAGAAGGCGGCCAAGGGUAUUUGUAUCAAAGAGUAGAUCUGCAGGUAGAUGUGUUUCAAUAUUCGAGAUAGAUGUUCGAUCGAACAAAAGGGGUCACGUUGCAACACUCUGGUACUGAAGUGAUCCACUAUUCAUAGUACGAAUGUGCUCCGAAGGUUCCGGCUAAGGCAGAAGAGUAUUUCUGCACCCAAAAAAAGCGAAUCUUCCAAAUUUCAUAGCUCAUUUUCCAGUUGCUCCUUUAUCUCUUUCUUAGAAUGGAAACGUUUUACCGUGUUCCCUGUGCUUUGGCUAUUUAACCACUUCUAUCGAAUUUUGUAAACUGUAGUAGAUAAGGGACCAAACAGCAAGCCUCUAUACGACUACAUGGGCAGCAACCGCUCGUGCGAAAAAUAUCUCGUACGGAAACCCAUAUACUUCAUGGAUCGUUGAAUGUAAGCCGGUCAGUGGAUUGGCGUGAUAUGGCAAACAUUUGGCCCUACCAAUUAAAUGGGUCAAAUAUGCGGCGGCAAUGUCUAUCUGACUAAGCCAACUUGCGUGGAACCUGGAGGCGAAUCAAUUUUCAAGUUAUUUUCCAUGCUCCCGCUUUUCUGCCCUCUCGGUAGUACAUACACAACCAGUGAAGCACUUUGUUUAUCCGAGACAAUCAGCAUCCCUGAGUCCAGUCUCAAGAAUCGGUUCCAACCUGCGGUCGGUUAUAAGCUUUCUCAUAAUGUUGGUAUAUCCAUUUGAAGGCAGAAAGUGACGAUCUUUUCUUGCAUACACGUUGCGUACGAUUGUGAAACUAAGUGUUUAUAAUCAUUGACCAAUCACGUUCUUGAGCACUCCACGCAUUACCAGUCAACUUGCGAUAUCUCACAGUGUAUGCUCGUUUAGACGCUGUCCUGAUGACCUGUUUUGCUGUGAAGUGUUUGUUGCCCAUCAAAGCUAACAACAACAACAACAACAACUGGACUCUCUAUAGCUCGCUCGAGCCUCUAUGCUGAAUAAUUUUUGUUCUAUUUCUGGAAUCCCCUUGAUGCCGUUGCCGAUCUGGCACUACGCCUUAGAAAAUUCACCACGUGAGCACUCCUAGGCUUAGCUUAAAGAACACCAAACGUAGAUACAGUCAAAACGCGUUGUGUUAAAAGCCUCAUUUACGUCCAACGUGUACCCAUUGGUUCAAAGAUGCGGUUCGGGUUUAGCAACGCUCGAAGUCUAAAAAAGCAUGAACUAGAUCUACCAUUUGGCUUGGGUAUAAAACAGUAAAUUUUUUUACCUUUACUUGAUUCUACAAACAGCUACCAUUAAAAUCAAUUCCCGUUGACUGCAGUUACGAUGGAAACGAUAGAGAUAUAUGGUGUAUUAGGAGGCUGCUACAAUAGAUUCUAUUAGCUGUUAUAUAUAUAGACAACCUUGAUCUGACCUAGAGCUACUGUUGUUAUUACCGUUAUGUGCUUCAAAUCUCGAUGAUGUCGGGCCGAUUAGUAAAUCGAAACAAAAUUCGCUACCGCAAACAGAUUAUCACAGUAUUUACAAAUACAUUACAUUGCUAUAGCUGAAAAUUCUAUUUACUUUAAGUUUAUUCGAAACAAAAACACCAACAAUUUAUCAUUCUAUCAGAAUAUAUAAUCGAUAUACCAAAAAGAGUGACAAUUAACUUAGAAAGUAUAGUUACUAUCCGCAGCAUAUAUUUGUGUUAGAAAACACUUACUCCUAUACAUCCGAGAGCUCUGAACAGCUAGCCAUGGCUAAGGCGUACGCUGACACCGGCUAGGGGCGCGGUGUAUCUAGACGCCACAAGUGCGGCCAAGUUUUUAACUUAAUUAGUUUAAAACUGGCCAGUUCUGGUCUUUAGCAGAAAGCUAGAGAAAGUUAGAAGGCUUCCUCAUGUAUUACAGUAGAAGUGCCGCUUGUAAGAUGGCUUUCCCUUCCGUAGGACUCAAGACUGACCUUUGCUUCGGAAACAAGCGGCUCUCAACCCGAAGUAUAUUCUGAUUCUAUUCGUAACGAACUGAUAACCGACGUGCGUCGAUCGAAUACGAACCGUACCGCCGGACGACGAUUGUAGGUAACUUACGUAUUGCGUAAAGAUGAUGUUACAGUUGUCCCGUUCAUCUAAUUUGAGCCUUGUAAACCUAUAGACAGCAUGUCGGUUUUUGUUACGCUUCAUCGUCGUUUGUUACUCGUUCGAUUGAACCAAAUCGAUGUUGUCGGUCGUCUUUGUUGUUAAUGAAUGGAUGGAUGGAUGGAUGCAUUACGGGGGUGUAGGUGGUUCGGAAAAUGUUUGUGUCUGCUCGCCGAUCGUCUGGCGAAAUUCGUAUGAUUAGCAAAACCUAUAGUGAACAUUUAGUGCUUAGUGAAAUACUUACGAUAACUGGCCCGUUUGCCUAAAUUAGUGGUCCGCAUAGAAUAUCUUCCAGCUCCAUGUUACCUGUACCGAGCAUCCUGUCUAUAGAAGAGUACGCGAAAGUCCAAACGCCCCCAGGCGUUCUGACGCAGCAGCGUCAAGACUGUUUUUGUCAACUGAUAUACGGUAUACAUAUAUUGUUCAAUAGUCGAUAAAAACGUUAUCUGAAUGCCAUGGUAUUGUGUCAUUGGACGCUAUUCGGAUACAAGCUAUUCCAUGUUUAUAAUAUGAAUAAAAUUGUUGUGGACAGAUUGUUUGGGUCAUAAAGAAACCCACAAAUGACUCGACGAAGACAAUUAACAUUUGAUGUUGGCGUUGCAGUGUUCCCUCGAUAACACAAUUGAUACCCGUAAGGAAUAUUUACUAUCAGCAAUCACUGCGACGAAACACGCUGAUAUAAAGAUAGUAUCAACUUGAUAUGGAUGUGAUCGAAGGAACAGCGUAUCUAGUCCGCUUUCCGCUUAUAAGAAACGCAAUUUGUUCUAAUCUAUUCGAUGUGCUAACGAUAUGAUACCUGUUUGAACGAGAACAAUUUAUAAACACGGAUCGAAGCAGAUACAGAAAAAACCGGUGCAAGAACUUUGUAACGGCGAGCGCCAGGACGACGAGCGCCAGGACGACGAGCGCUAACGGCAAGGGGAUAUGGCGGAUGAGAAGCGUCGUCUGCAAAAUGGUGCUGUCUAUUCACCGCGGCAAAAUACUGUGCAGUGAAUGAGGCUGCUUUCAGGGCUUUGCGUAUGAAGCUUGCUGACAUUGAAUGUUUUGUAAUAAAAACCACGUCUGCGAACAUGGCAUAACGUAAAUAAACGUAGAGUCGAGAUGAGAGACCAAGCUAAACUAGCCAGAUCAGUACGGUGCGUCAGCAAGUGUACUUGCAGCGGCAAUGCUUUUGGACAUAUGUCGUAGUGUCGACAUACAUACAAUCUGAAUACCAAUAGUUAGGACCAUGUAGGAGCCGAAUAACUUACUGCCAAGUUAAAAAAUCUUAGAUCUCUUUGUAAUAUCGUCCAGUUGUACUAUUCGAUACCUAUUGGCAAAUAAAUGAG
rnacentral:lncRNA from 1 species